UACUUUUAACACKUUUGACCUCGGGAUCAGGUAG
rnacentral:rRNA from 1 species